AUCUCAUGAUGAGGACACUUACGAAGUAACUCCCUAAAUUGCUCCCAAGCCUCAUACAAAGACUCGUCAUCCAAAUUUUAGAAAGUUGUGAUCUCGUUCCUCAACUU
rnacentral:snoRNA from 1 species